UUAUGUGUCCCUUGUACGGAUGAUCUGAAAUAGAGAAUUAUGGCUGAAGCAUAUUAUUCUAUUCAUCUCAGUGCUACCAAGAUAUAUCGCGAUUUGCGGGAAAUUUAUUGGUGGAGUGGUAUGAAUAAGGAUAUAGCAUAUUUUGUAGAAAAGUGUUCACUUUGUCAACAGGUUAAGGUAGAGCACCAAAGACCUAGUAGCACGUUAUAAGAGUUCUAUUUUCCCACUUGGAAGUGGGAAGAGGUGAAUAUAUAUUUUGUGACUGGUUUACCCGAAUUGCCUCGUCAUUAUGAUUCGAAUAGGUUAGUAUAGACAGAUUGACUAAGUCAGUUCAUUUCUUGCCAGUUCACACGUCUUAUACAACUGAAGACUAUGCAAUGUUGUAUAUCUAAGAGUUAGUCAGAUUUCAUAGAGUUCCAUUGUCUAUUAUUUUGAAUAGGGGUACUCAGUUUACUUCCUAGUUUUGGAGAGCAUUUUAGAAGGGUCUUGGCACCCAAAUCCAUCUUAGUUCACCUUUCUACCCUUAGACAGAUAGUCAAGCAGAGAGGACCAUCCAAACUCUAGAGGAUAGGUUAAUGACGUGUGCUCUUGAUUUUAUAGGUAGUUGGGAUGAGCAUUUGCCAUUUAUUGAGUAUUUUUAUAAUAAUAGUUACCAUUCUAGUAUUCGGAUGGACCAGUUUCAGGCUAUGUAUGGGAUAAGAUAUACGUCCCCCAUAUGUUGGUUUGAAGUGGGUAAGGCCAGUUUGCUUGGUCCUAAUGCAGUAUAUGAAGCUAUGAAGAAAGUCAAGUUAAUUAGAGAAAGAUUGAAAAUAACCCAGAUUCAUCAGAAAUUGUAUGUGGAUAUAAGGAAGAGAUCUUGAAUUUGAAGUUAGUGAUUUAGUGUAUCUGAAGAUUUCACCUAUGAAAGGGGUGAAGAUAUUUGACAAGAAGGGAAAGCUCAGUCCCUGGUAUGUUGGCCCUUAUAAAAUUUUGAGUCGUGUUGGGAAAGUAGAUUAUGAGAUUCAGUUUCCCAUAGAUUUCUCAAUAGUUCAUCCUGUAUUCCACGUCUCUAUGCUUAAGACGUGCAUCGGUGACCACCAUUGUAAUUCCUUUAGAAAGCUCAAAAAUUCAGAACAACUUUUCAUAUGAAGAGAUUCCAGUUGAGAUUUUAGAUCAUCAGAUUCGUAGACUAAGGAACAAAGAAGUUCCCUUGGUCAAAGUUAUUUGGAAAAAUGAGUCGGUUGAGGGGGCUACUUGGGAAGCAGAAAUAGAUAUGUGAGCCAAGUUCCCUCACCUUUUCUCUGCAAACUAAAAUGUAGCCGAAGGUAAUACUCUUUCUUGAUUCAGGUCCUUUCUAAUAAGAUAUUCACCAAUAUAGUUUUCCUCAUGUAAGUUCAUUCGCUCACCGAGUUACUCAGAAGCUCAGAAUGAUUUAGAUUUAGUUGUAUAGUUCAUUUCAGUUAUGCAUGCUCUCUUAUAUUCUCAUAUUUCUGAGAAAUUUCAACUUAACUAGCCAUAUUCGAGGAUGAAUGUUUCUAAGGAGGAGAUAUUAUAAUACCCCAUACUUUUUCUAGCUAGAAUCUAUCCCUAAGAUGUUAUGGGAUAGAUUACAAGAUGAAUAUUUUUUAAUUUGUGUGGAAUUCUUUAGAUUUGAACUUUUCAUGGUGUAGGAAAUCUAAUAAUCUUUUCAAUGAUAUAAUAUUCGCCUAAAUUCAAUAAGUGGGUAAGAAUUUAUUGCUAUUUUAAGUUCCAGUCACAAAACAUCAUCAUUUGGACCCUUAGCACAUCGCAGAGCAGUGUUAAUUCCUAAGUGUCAAUUUCCAGUAGCCCUUCACGAUAUUGGCGCAUCGCGGACAAAGACAAAUUCCCAAUUGUCCAAUUCCAGUAAAGGACUGCGAUAUUAACGUGUCACACCAAGUGUGCAGGUCCUAUCUAAGGUCGAAAUACGAUACCACUGCAUCGCAUCACCAACCAUUAUCCCAGUUGGCAUUUUCUAGUGGUUUGGCAAGAUAGUGGCCCGUCGCACCAAGGCCAAAAAUUGGGACCCCAGUUUAGUUUUCUAGUUUUGGUUAUGAGUUAAAGUGGGGUAUUUUAGACUUUUCCCCAUCCCCCAAUCUAUCCAAACACAUGAUUAAAACCUUUUAAAAGCAUUAUAUUCAAGUUUCAUCAGAAUUACUCUCAUCCAAAACCUUAGGCUUCAACAUUCAUCUCCGAGAAACUCAGGAAUCCACCAUCCUUUUUCCAGAUUGUUUCAAGAUUUAAGAUCCCUAGACUAAGAUAUUCAAGAAUCUUUGUUCAAGAGUACAAAUAGUAUCUCAAAAAGAAAUCUUAUUCAUUUAGUUCAUCAUUUAAGUUAUGUGGGGUUCGGACAAGGACAAUCCUUUCUUCCUUGUGCCCAAAAACUUGAUUUUUAUUAAAGAUCACAUGAUUUGCAAGUUAGGAUUGAUACCCAAUUCUUAUUAUUUUUCGUUUAUGAAAUUAUUGUGUUAUUUAAGGCUUCAAUUGCAAAAGAUUUACAUAUAUCCAUCUUUGAAAUCAUAAGAUUUAUAUUAUGAGUUAUUUUCCACUAUUUUGAUUGAUAUUGUUGAUAGCUUCUAAGAUAAUUGUUGGGCAUGAAGUUUAAAUAUGAUUUUUAUGCAUCAAAGCUUUAUACUUUGAGUCCUAAACUACAAGUAUUGAGUUUACAAGGGGAUUAUGAUCUCAAGUUUUAUUGACAUGUUUUGAUAAGUGCUUUCAAGAGCAAAGAUUGGUCCUUUGAAACUAAGCUAAGACAAAGAAUCAACAUUUUUCACAUAGUUUGAGUUUUAAAGAAGAGAAGCAUAAUCAGUUUUAAUUAUAAACCCUUAUGCUAUUAUAAGGUGAAUUACCUAAAGUUCUGAGCAUAGGAUGGAAGUAGUAUUUGCACUGAGUUGGGUAUGAUUCCAAGGUCUCAUUUCCUAAAACAAAGUGCCACCGUAGGACUAAGAUUAUUUCCACUUAUGCGUGGAUGACUACAAUUGUGAUCACUCAAGUUAAGGUUAUAUUCCGAUAGUAAGGGUAGAACAACUCUCCCUAAUGUGGACAAUACGUUGGACUCCACUCAAAUAGUUUAUGUCAGUUAGAAGAAACUCCCAAGCCCAAAGUCUCUAAGUCCCAAAGCUUCUAAGUUUCAAAAGAAAAGAAUGAUAGAAAAUCUUUUAUAAGUCUUAAGUGUUUUGACUCACUAGAUUUACAAGUAUGAUUAGUUAUACAUGAUUUUAUAUAUCGAUAUUUUGUCAUAAUCAAGCUUAUAUGAGUCAUAUACAUCUACAUGCAUUUACUUUCUAAUUAUGAUGAUGUUUACUUGUGUGUUACACCUCUAUAUACUCAGUAUAUCCUCGAAGUGUUAAUCUACAUAUAUGUCUAUGUGCUACAAUGUCUUAUAAUGUAGAUUUAGGUGCUUUGUAUCAAUAGUGUGAGUAGUUCGAGCAUCUUUCUACAUUCCCACAGUUGGUGAGUUCUCAUGAUUAAAGGGCCUUCUUCUACAAAUUUCCUUCUUUUAUAGUGCUUGAGUAAUUUUUUUCAGUUUAGUCCGAGUCAGUUGGGGGUCUGUCCUAGUGGCUCUCUAGUUCUUUAUUAGUAGUAGAGGCUUGUCAGAAAAUGAGUUUAUUUAUAGGCUUUUAGUAUUUGUUUUUCAGACCUUAACUAUAGUUUAUUCAAUUUAGUUUUGGUAUAAUUCAGUAUUAUUUCUUGGUUAGAUUAUCUUGAAGUAAGGUUCAGACUUAGUAGCAGGCUGAAAGGGUUAGCUUGAUGCUACUAGUAGCUUUGAGCAUCGUGUGACAUCUCGGGAUCAGAUUUUGGGGCAUUACACUACCCGAGAGUUCCAAGUGACACACAUGGUCUGCAUAAGAAUGCAUAUGGAUCCUUGUGUAACUUAUGGGCCGACCCAACAAUGCAUAGUGGGCUUUAGAAUGUUAAAGGGCUGCUUUGAAAUAUAAUUCUUAUUAAGGGUGUUUUAGUAAUUUUACCCUACUAUGUAGUAGACUAUAAAUAGCAACUUAUUAAGUUUAUUUCCUAUUAGCUUAUUAUUAACAUUGAAUGAACUUUCUCUUUUAAGAUAGUGUAGUGUACCUAGGGCAAGCAUAGAAUCACUUGUAUUGAAUUUUUGCAUAUAAAUAGGGGUUCUUGAGGAGAAUUGAUUUCCCUCUUAGGUUCUCUUAAUAACUUGGUGUUUGAUUAUACAUGUUUUAGGGGUCUUUGAGUUUGAUGGACUUUUAGGUUCUUACUUUUCUUGUAGGUUCUUACUUUUUUGUAGCUUCUUAUGUCAAGUUAUAUAUCUUUACUUUUCUUGCUAUAUUGAAUUUUGUUUUGUGUAAGCUUGUAUUUUUUGAGAUUUUGUUUGGUUAGUCUUCAUCUCACCUAGGUCGAUUCUAUAUCAUUUGGUAUUAGAGCAAGUUUUGAUUUCAUUCCUACAAAAUCAAUCUUGGGUUGUUAUCUAGAUAAUCAACAAAAAAAUGAUAAAAAGAGAAAAAGCUACAGUUCAUGUUUUGGCCUUUCUUGAAUUUUUGAGUUUUAGAUUUCUGUGUCUUCUUGUUUUCCUAGUGUUUGAUCUUGAUUCCCUAACACUAAAAGUGUCUAGAUCUAGAAUUUGAGAUAUUUCUGGUUGAUUUGAUUCAUCCGUCAUUGUUGAGCUUGACUUGAAGAAACUUGAAGGUGGAUUUCAAAUUUUGGAAGGGUUUGGUUGAGAAUUUAUGCUUGAAAUCGUGAUAUUGGUGUUUUGGAGUUCAACAUAUGCUUGAAAAAUAUAAAAAUUAUCAAUUUUGAGGUCAUAUGCUUAAGGGUUACUUUUUAAUGUUCUUGGUGUUCUCUUCAUAAUCUUCAUAUAUUGUUGAAGAAGAAUAUUCAAAAAGUGAUUGUUUGAUCAUAAAAGUAGGUGAGAGAGAGUGUGGUACUUGUUUGAUCAAGCGAUAUUCCAAAGGAUAUUCCAAGUCAUCAAAAGGAAGAAAUAGUCCAAAAUCAUAAAAAGGGAAUAUCCUCAAAAGAAGAGGACAAGGGAAAGUACAAGGAGGGAACCACAAAGAAAUUCAAAGGCUCCUUUUCAUUGAAUUUUCAGCCACAAAAAUCGAUUACCACACUCCAAAAGUUUAAGAUUGAUUGAAGUUUAAAUUGGAAAUAAGAAAUUCCUAAACGACAACCAACCAAUUAGAAGAUGCCAUGUCAUCAACCAUCAAAAAUAACCUUAUGCUUGAUUCUAAUGUUAGUUAGCAACUAGUAAUCACCUACUUAGUUGUGAAAUUGUUGUUUGUAUCCUUUUUUUUGUGUCAUCUUUCUUUGUUUGCUUUUUUUUUUUUUCAUUUUUGAUUCAUUAUAGUUUCUUGGUUCAAGCUCGAAUGAUAUUUUUUUUUGAGUUCUUCAAACGAAAACCAAUUUUGGGCAAGAGUAGAAAUCAUCCCUCAACUCUUCAUGGAUUACAAGACAACAUUAAACACUUGUGAAUCCAAAUGUGAGGUAAUCAAAGGUGUGAGAGUGUUCUUAGGAUACUUUUGAGCUAACUAGUUUGUUGUUUUUGUUGUUGUCUAUUUUAGGUAUAAUUGUAAUGGAUGGAGAAACAUCAAAAGCCAUGGAUAGUGAUGCUAAUAAUACUAUCUUUGCCACUUUUGAAGAUAUCAACGAAACUCUUGAAAAGAUAUGCAAAAUGAUUAAUCCACCAAAUCCAAUUCCUUCAUUCCAAGCUCCACUUAACCAAAUGCCUCAACCUCUACCAAAUCCAAUUUCCCCAUUCCAAGCUCCAAUUAACCAAAACCAACCCAUCCAUGUAGAGGAAGAUGGUAGUGAGAAGAAAUUGGAGUUAGAUUAGAGUCUCUCUUAUUCAUUGAGGCACAUAGUGUGGAAGCCUUUGAAAGAGGAACUUUAUGAAGGAAAAAACCUUUUUGAUAAAAGGUUUUAUAUGAUGAAGAAUGUACGUUCCUUAGCCAUUGAUGGGAAGAAAAAAAUUAAUAUUGUGUAUUAUAACUUUGUUGAUCUCAUGGAUCUUCCCACACAAAGUCAUCACAAACCAUACAAACUCCAAUAAAAUUAUGAGGUUGAAUCUAAUACGGUCACCAAGAAAACUGUUGUUGAUUUUAUAGUGUGCAAGUAUCGAGAUAAAGUGCUAUGUGAUUUAAUCCCUUGCGAGCUUGUCAUUUGUUGCUUAGUAAGACAUGGGAGGAUGCAAGGUCAAUUCAAUACUAAGGGAAGUCCAACUAAUAUGUACUUGUAUUUGGGGCAAAAAAACACUAUCUUGAUCCAAUGACAACCGAGCAACUGAGUAAAGAAUGUGAGAUCAUGAGGGGAUUUCGGAAAGUAGUAAAGAUGGAGGAAGUUUUGAAGAGGGAGAUGGAAUUAACCCUUGAAAAAGGGAACAACAACAUGGCUCACGAACAAUAAGAAAUGACUAAGAUUGACGAUCCAAGUGGUUGCUUGAAAAGUGUGGACAAUGAAUACCUAGUUUUGGGACUUGUCUGAACAAGUUCCUUGUUGCCUACUAACAAUGAUACUAUCAUUUUACGUUUUAUCAACUAAUCUUUUGUACAGGUACAAGAAUGUAUAGUUCCAAAGGAGGAUACAAUAAAAGUUCCUUACGAACACAUGCUGGAUGAUCUAACAGAUCUCUCACCUAAGAAUCCCAACUUUGGUAAAAAAGAUGAAUAGAUGAUCCAAGGAAGAAGUCUUGAAAAACUCUCUUGUGAUAAGAGCUUCCCUAAGGAGCAGGUGGGCUUCCAUUAUUCACACCAAUGUAAAGGUCAUACAUCAGCUACAAGGUAUUGAUUAAAGGUUGAAUCCUUUUUAAGAAAGGGAGGAUGAUACGAGCUAAAUGACCAUCAUAGCUUUUGAUUACAUCAUGCAAGGCCAGCACGUGAAGAAUUCAAUUGUGGUCACAUUAAGGGUAUGAGAACAUGCAUGGGGGACCUAUUUUCAGCCCACAAUAGAGCAAUUUUAUGUGUGGAAGGUUGCUUGGGAGCUUGCCUUGAUGCCUACCUAAGAGUUUUAAGUGACACACAUGGGCUACCCUACGAAUGCAUAUGCAUCCUUGUGUCACAUAUGGGAUGACCCACUAAUGUAUAGUGGGAUUUGGAGUGUUAACGGGCAACUUUGGAGUGUAAUUCUCAUUAAGAUUGUUUUAGUAAACCCCUUGAUGUUGUAUACUAUAAAUAGCCACUUAUUAGGUUUAUUUUUCAUUAGCUUAUUAUUGAAAUUGAGUGAACUUUUCUUUUAUGAGAGAGUGUAGUGUAACUAGGGCAAGUGUGGAAUCAGUUGUACUAAAUUUUGUCUUAGAAAUGGGGGUUCUUAAGGAGAAUUUGUUUUUGUCUUUGGUUCACGUAAGAACUUGGUGUUUGAUUCAAUAUAUUAUAGGGUUCUUUGAGUUUGAUACA